UUAGUCUUCUUUAUCUUUGUCAAGUUUUCUUAAAGUUUUUGACAGGCUUUAUUAUUUACUGUUUAUUUUAAAUCUUUAUCUAGUUCUAAAAUAAAUAGUUACUUCUUUUUGGUGAAUUGAACCUGAUUUGUAUUAGUUCUACACUUUUAAUUUAUUUUCUUAUUUUAAGGCACAGGAUUACUUUAUCAACUGCUGUAGUUAAUUGAUGCCUGGUGUUUCCCCUCAUCUAUUUUCACUUUUACCUGUGAAGGCAUGACAAGGACUCCGCUGAUGGAUGCAGUGAAAUAAAUGCUUUGUGCCAUCUACUGGUGCCGCUGGGAGCUGCGGGUCAGCCCGCAGCCGGAGUUGUGACGGACUCAAGCGUGCAGUGUGGGAAAAGGAAACUCGCUGUAAAUGCUCCAAACAAUCAUCUUUGCUUUUUUUGUCACUAAUUGCUAUGCCUGGGAAAACAAACUGCAGUCUCUUUUCUGCUGCAUGGAAAACAACCCCUGUUGAGAGAAAAGAGCAGCUGAAUUCCAGUGACUCUCUCCCUGGAGAGUGUGAGGCUGUUAGAACUUGUUCUCAGUUUCAGCUCAGUAAUUCAGUGUUUACUUCCCUGCUCUCUGGGAUCCUGAGGAGGAAGUACAUAAUAUGGGUGUAAUUUGAGUACCACUCUCUAGUCCUACUCUUUCUGUCAAGACUGACAAGAAAACUGCUUUAGAUCAUGGAGGAGCUCUCAAAUUCAUUUGGGCUCCCGUGCAGGGAUACUCCCUGUGUUUAUUUAACAGCAUUUCGAGUUUCCAAAAUAAAAUAUUUGCUGAAAGAACCCUGAAAUUUGUC
rnacentral:lncRNA from 1 species